rnacentral:ribozyme from 15 species
AAGUAACACAAAAAAACAAAAAAAAAGGAUCAUAAAUUUUUUUACCUUUUAUUUUUUUUUUUUUUUUUUUUUU